GUCGAACGAAGUAGCAAUACUUAGUGGCAGACGGGUGAGUAACAUGUAGGUAUCUUCCCUUUGGCCUGGAAUAACACGAGGAAACUUGUGCUAAUACUAGAUAAGUCUUUACGGAGAAAGCUUUAUGCACCAUUGGACGAGCCUGCACUUGAUUAGUUUGUUGGUGGGGUAAUGGCCUACCAAGACUGUGAUCAAUAGCUGAUUUGAGAGGAUGAUCAGCCACAUUGGGACUGAGACACGGCCCAAACUCCUACGGGAGGCAGCAGUGGGGAAUCUUGCACAAUGGAGGAAACUCUGAUGCAGCGAUGCCGCGUGAGUGAAGAAGGCCCUUGGGUUGUAAAGCUCUUUCGUCGGGGAAGAAAAUGACUGUACCCGAAUAAGAAGGUCCGGCUAACUUCGUGCCAGCAGCCGCGGUAAUACGAAGGGACCUAGCGUAGUUCGGAAUUACUGGGCUUAAAGAGUUCGUAGGCGGUUGAAAAAGUUGGUGGUGAAAUCCCAGAGCUUAACUCUGGAACUGCCAUCAAAACUUUUCAGCUAGAGUUUGAUAGAGGAAAGCAGAAUUUCUAGUGUAGAGGUGAAAUUCGUAGAUAUUAGAAAGAAUACCAAUUGCGAAGGCAGCUUUCUGGAUCAUUACUGACACUGAGGAACGAAAGCAUGGGUAGCGAAGAGGAUUAGAUACCCUCGUAGUCCAUGCCGUAAACGAUGUGUGUUAGACGUUGGAAAUUUAUUUUCAGUGUCGCAGCGAAAGCGAUAAACACACCGCCUGGGGAGUACGACCGCAAGGUUAAAACUCAAAUGAAUUGACGGGGACCCGCACAAGUAGUGGAGCAUGUGGUUUAAUUCGAAGAUACGCGCAGAACCUUACCAACACUUGACAUGUUCGUCGCGACUUUAAGAGAUUAAAGUUUUCGGUUCGGCCGGACGAA
rnacentral:rRNA from 1 species